GAUGAAGAACGCAGCGAAAUGCGAUAAGUAAUGUGAAUUGCAGAAUUCAGUGAAUCAUCGAAUAUUUGAACGCACAUUGCGCCCGCCAGUAUUCUGGCGGGCAUGCCUGUUCGAGCGUCAUUUCAACCAUCAAGCCCCCGGCUUGUGUUGGGGACCUGCGGCUGCCGCAGGCCCUGAAAAGCAGUGGCGGGCUCGCUGUCACACCGAGCGUAGUAGAUUUCAUCUCGCUCAGGGCGUGCUGCGGGUUCCGGCCGUUAAACCACCUUCAUAACCCAAGGUUGACCUCGGAUCAGGUAGGAAGACCCGCUGAACUUAAGCAUAUCAAUAAGCGGAGGA
rnacentral:misc_RNA from 1 species